ACCAGACUCCUACGGGAGGCAGCAGUGGGGAAUAUUGCACAAUGGGGGAAACCCUGAUGCAGCGACGCCGCGUGAGUGAAGAAGUAUUUCGGUAUGUAAAGCUCUAUCAGCAGGAACGAGACAAGACGGUACCUGACUAAGAAGCCCCGGCUAACUACGUGCCAGCAGCCGCGGUAAUACGUAGGGGGCAAGCGUUAUCCGGAAUCACUGGGUGUAAAGGGAGCGUAGACGGCUGUGCAAGCCUGAAGUGAAAGGCGGGGGCCCAACCCCUGGACUGCUUUGGGAACUGUACGGCUGGAGUGCAGGAGAGGUAAGUGGAAUUCCUAGUGUAGCGGUGAAAUGCGUAGAUAUUAGGAGGAACACCAGUGGCGAAGGCGGCUUACUGGACUGUAACUGACGUUGAGGCUCGAAAGCGUGGGGAGCAAACAGGAUUAGAUACCCUCGUA
rnacentral:rRNA from 1 species